GAGUUUGAUCGUGGCUCAGAGCGAACGCUGGCGGCAGGCUUAACACAUGCAAGUCGAGCGGGCCCUUCGGGGUCAGCGGCGGACGGGUGAGUAACGCGUGGGAACGUGCCUUCUGGUUCGGAAUAACCCUGGGAGACUAGGGCUAAUACCGGAUACGCCCUUUUGGGGAAAGGUUUACUGCCGGAAGAUCGGCCCGCGUCUGAUUAGCUAGUUGGUGGGGUAAUGGCCUACCAAGGCGACGAUCAGUAGCUGGUCUGAGAGGAUGAUCAGCCACACUGGGACUGAGACACGGCCCAGACUCCUACGGGAGGCAGCAGUGGGGAAUAUUGGACAAUGGGCGCAAGCCUGAUCCAGCCAUGCCGCGUGAGUGAUGAAGGCCUUAGGGUUGUAAAGCUCUUUUAUCCGGGACGAUAAUGACGGUACCGGAGGAAUAAGCCCCGGCUAACUUCGUGCCAGCCGCCGCAGUAAU
rnacentral:rRNA from 1 species